GAACAAUCUCUCAUUCCAUCUUCUAGAGAAUCUUGGAUAACUGAUUGGUGGUUUCAUGUAUAUGGCCUGUAAGACCAAAUGUCUGGUUGUCACUCCAAAAUAAGGCAAUGAGGCCAAUGACUACACGUUCAACGCGGAUCAUUUGUAUUGUCAUCGAAAUUGACUCAUUCUAAUUUCUGGAUUGCUCAGGAAACGUGAUUGGCGUUACCUGUCCAUUUGGGUAAUGACCGAGAAGAUGAACAUCAUAUA